rnacentral:lncRNA from 1 species
AUUUUGGUUGCAUCAAACUGUGAGCAAAGACUCUUCUUCAUCCCUGGGGUGAUAAACACAUGUUGCCCCAGUAUUUGAAUCCUUGAAAGGCAUGCCCCAGAUUAAAUCGUUGACCAAGACUGCCCCCAAUACUUAAUGUUGAAAAGUGUGUCCCUCAUUGAUUGGCGCUUUGAAGGUUCAACCCAUUUUUAGAAAUAUUUUGACCUCAAUCAACAAGAUCUCCGGAUGAUCUGCCCCUUGAUUAUAAGGUAGUAUUCUUGAUUAGCAGGACCCGUAGGUGAUUUGCCCCUUGUCAGGAGUUCCUUGAAAUGAUUCACCUUUUGAUCAGACCCUUGUUGAAAUUUCCUCGAUGCCAAGUAUAGAUUUGCGAAUGAAAUUGUUUCUUUUGAAAAGUUGUUUUGAAGUAAUGCACAUGCAAGUUUUGAAAUCGAAAUUUGGAUAAUAUUUGGCUAGAAGAUCGGCGCAAUUUGAAAGAGUAAAGAAGUGACAAAAAAUGUUAGCGAUGAUUCACAAACAUGAGGAGUCAGUUUAAUAACAAUUUUGCUAAUUACGCUUUCAUAGUGAACCUAACUUCAAUUAGGUCUUUUGAAGGUUGUAACGUGGCCUGGUUCACGAUUUUUGAAAAAAGGAUUAUAAGGCUCAAAAAUUUGAUUUUAACCCACCCAUUCUCCUUUGAUGUCCUCCAUUCCUAAAUUCAAUUAACUCAAUGGAUGCAUUCAGUUGGCAAGAGAAUUUUGGUAGCUAUGAUGACCGAGGUAGAUACAAUGGUCGAAGCAUGGAUGAAGUUUUUGAGGUGACAAUCACUUUUUUUCCCACAAGCUUGUUCCAUUUUUUUUUAAUCCCUUACUUUUGCAUGGACCAUUUCUUUUGAAUAUGUGGUCCAUCGGGAUGCCCUGAUUUUUUGCCUAAGUCUCUUUUCAAUUUUCUUUUUUACUUAGCGGGCUCUUUUUUAUUUUUUGGAACAGCUCUGGUGAGAUUUGCUUUAGAUUCAGGAAGCUUAUGACUGUCAUAUCAACC